UACGUAGGUGGCAAGCGUUACUCGGAUUCACUAGGCGUAAAGCGCGUGUAGGCGGGUGUUCAAGUCUGUUGUGAAAUUUCCUGGCUCAACUGGGAAGGGCCAACAGAUACUGGACGUCUUGAGUAAGGCAGAGGAAACUGGAAUUCUCGGUGUAGCGGUGAAAUGCGUAGAUAUCGAGAGGAACACCGGUGGCGAAGGCGGGUUUCUGGGCCUUUACUGACGCUGAGACGCGAAAGCUAGGGGAGCAAACAGG
rnacentral:rRNA from 1 species